AGUGAACGCUGGCGGCAGGCCUAACACAUGCAAGUCGAACGGCAGCACAGUAAGAGCUUGCUCUUACGGGUGGCGAGUGGCGGACGGGUGAGGAAUACAUCGGAAUCUACUUUUUCGUGGGGGAUAACGUAGGGAAACUUACGCUAAUACCGCAUACGACCUACGGGUGAAAGCAGGGGAUCUUCGGACCUUGCGCGAUUGAAUGAGCCGAUGUCGGAUUAGCUAGUUGGCGAGGUAAAGGCCCACCAAGGCGACGAUCCGUAGCUGGUCUGAGAGGAUGAUCAGCCACACUGGAACUGAGACACGGUCCAGACUCCUACGGGAGGCAGCAGUGGGGAAUAUUGGACAAUGGGCGCAAGCCUGAUCCAGCAAUACCGCGUGAGUGAAGAAGGUCUUCGGGUUGUAAAGCUCUUUUGUUGGGAAAGAAAAGCAGCAGGUUAAUACCCCGCUGUUCUGACGGUACCCAAAGAGUAAGCACCGGCUAACUUCGUG
rnacentral:rRNA from 1 species